rnacentral:rRNA from 1 species
GAACGUACCCUAGGGUUGGGGGAUAACGUAGCGAAAGUUACCGCUAAUACCGCAUACGCUCUACGGAGGAAAGCAGGGUGACCGCAAGGCCUUGCGCUCAUGGAGCGGCGAUAUCGGAUUAGCUUGUUGGUGGGGUAAAAGCCCACCAAGGCGACGAUCCGUAGCUGGUCUGAGAGGACGACCAGCCACACUGGGACUGAGACACGGUCCAGACUCCAACGGGAGGCAGCAGUGGGGAAUUUUGGACAAUGGGGGCAACCUGAUCCAGCCAUGCCGGUGUGUGAAGAAGGCCUUCGGGUUGUAAAGCACUUUUGUCCGGAACGAAACGGUUGGUGCAAAUAACAUCAGCUAAUGACGGUACCGGAAGAAUAAGCACCGGUUAACUACGUGCCAGCAGCCGCGGUAAUACGUAGGGUGCAAGCGUUAAUCGGAAUUACUGGGCGUAAAGCGUGCGCAGGCGGUUUCGCAAGUCAGAUGUGAAAUCCCCGGGCUCAAACUGGGAAACUGCAUUUGAAACUACGAGGCUAGAGUGUGUCAGAGGGGGGUAGAAUUCCACGUGUAGCAGUGAAAU